GUGGAGGACGGCUACGAGUUCUUCGCCAAGCGGCAGCUGGUGACGCUGUUCUCGGCGCCUAACUACUGCGGCGAGUUCGACAACGCCGGCGCUCUGAUGUCUGUGGACGAGACGCUCAUGUGCUCCUUCCAGAUCCUCAAGCCCAUCGACCGGAAAAAGAUCUACGGUGGCAUGAACUCUGGACGCCCGGUGACGCCGCCUCGCGGGGGCUUUCAGGGAAACAAUAAAAACAAGAAGAAAUGAGGGGCGGCCGCCUGCUAGCUCUGUCGUGGACUGCGUGAUCGCUCGGUAUAGACUCGGUGACGGCCCGUGCGCCUUGUGUAACCAAGUGAAAUGUAACUCGGAACGAAUUUGUUAGCACCUAUACUGGACAGUUUACAUGAUGCCAUUUCUCAUGUGCGUUGUACAUAAUGGCCUCCGUGCGGCGCCUCGCGUUGGUGCGGCGCCUGGGAGGGUUCGUCGGACACGUCGUCCACCGACGGCGGUUUGGUAGGACCUAUUUUCUCUCGAUUGUUACGGCGAAAAGACUGCGGGGGCAAGUGCGUUGCCGACUUCGAUGAAACCGCAUUUCAUUGUGACGCCGUUUGCGGCAGUAUUUUUUAUACCCGAUAGGUCAUGUGUCAGCGGUUUCGGUUACCGGAGAUACUGCUUGUAAACGCUCUGACCGUGCGGCGGUACAAAUGGUAGCGUCCUUGGUCGUCCCACUUGAAGCAUACGUGAUUGAAGCCGAUUGGACGAAGAAUUCCUCCGGAGGAGACACUGUUUUAACAUCAGCCCACCCGAGACAGUGCGAAGGAGAGUCCAAUAAAUGAACCAUCGAAUCAAC
rnacentral:misc_RNA from 1 species